UACGUAGGGUGCGAGCGUUGUCCGGAAUUAUUGGGCGUAAAGAGCUCGUAGGCGGUGUGUCACGUCGGCCGUGAAAACCUGCAGCUUAACUGUGGGCGUGCGGUCGAUACGGGCAUCACUGGAGUUCGGCAGGGGAGACUGGAAUUCCUGGUGUAGCGGUGAAAUGCGCAGAUACCAGGAGGAACACCGGUGGCGAAGGCGGGUCUCUGGGCCGAUACUGACGCUGAGGAGCGAAAGCGUGGGUAGCGAACAGG
rnacentral:rRNA from 1 species